rnacentral:rRNA from 1 species
UACGUAGGGGGCAAGCGUUAUCCGGAUUUACUGGGUGUAAAGGGAGCGCAGGCGGCAGUGCAAGUCUGGAGUGAAAGCCCGGGGCCCAACCCCGGAACUGCUCUGGAAACUGUGCGGCUAGAGUACUGGAGGGGCAGGCGGAAUUCCUAGUGUAGCGGUGAAAUGCGUAGAUAUUAGGAGGAACACCAGUGGCGAAGGCGGCCUGCUGGACAGUAACUGACGUUGAGGCUCGAAAGCGUGGGGAGCAAACAGG